AUUAUGUGGAUCUUUACACUUUUAAUGCGGUUCUACGCCAUAAAUCAUAUUUGUGAAAGCGUUAAAUUUAAGGCAAACAAAAUUAAGAAAAUAAUUCAUCAACUGACAAAUUCACUUCAAUAUAGUACAGUUUGGAAAGAGGUUCAGCAAUUUUCUCUACAAACAAUGCAAAAUCCAUUAGAGUUUACUG